GAGAUCAGGACCUGAGCUGAAGUCGGCUGCUUAACCACCUGAGCCGCCCAGGUUAAGUCUUGAAGGAUGAGUAGGAUGUUGCCAAGAAGAGAAGGAAGGGGGUAGAGAUUAAUUCUAAGCAUGGAGACCAGCAAAAGUAAAGGCUUGGGACAUGAGAAAAUUUGGUGUAUCUGGACUGUGGUGAGCAUUUCUGUAACUGGUGAUAAAGUCCUUAAGAUUUUGGCAAGAGAUUGAGGAAGAUGGAAUUUUCAAGAAUGAUUCCUAUGCUUCUCACUUCCAGUUGCACAGAUGGUGGUGCCAUUCACUGAGAUAGGGAAUAUUGGGAAAGAACUAAGUCUGGCAAGCCAAGAUUAGUGGUAUGGUUUUAUAUGCAUUGAUUUUGAGGAGUACAAAAUAUCCAGAUGAAGAUAGGCAGGUGAAUACAUAGGUGUAGACUCCAAAGCACAGAUGAGAAUCUGGAGGUGACUCUUGGUUUCUUUGCUCUAAUCACAUUUUUCAUUCCUCAGUCACUCGAUGAUUUCUGCUCUUAUAAGCCCCUUGUAUUUCUCUUCCUUGGGCUUUCCCUGGUUAAUUCCUACUCAUUCUUCAUAUCUCAAAUGAAACAUCCUCCCACAGGCUGUGCUCAACCACCAGAUCCAGUCACUUCCUCAUAGUACAUAUUUUCAUAGCACCACAAAUUUUCAUAGUAUUUGUCAAAAUUGUAUUUUCACAUUUAUUCACAGAAUUAUUUUCUCUCUCUCUCUGACUAUAAUUUCCAUGAGAACAAGACCUGUGUAUGGCUUUGUUCAUCAUUAUACCCUGUACCUAACAUAAUGCCUAGCACAUGUAAAUGUUCAGGACAUAUUUAAAAGAAUGGUUGAUGUUCAUAUUAAUGGGAAUAAAAACCCAAUGGCCAUUUACACACGAAGACAGGUCCCUAACUGAAGGCACCAGUAUUUUGUGGAUGAAAGACUCUUAAGAUGCCGCCCAGUUAUCCUGACUCCUGGUAUUCACAUCCUUGUGUAAUUUCCUCCCCUGGAGCAUGGGAGAAGCCCAUGACUUAUUUCUAACCAUAGAAUAUGGCAAAGGGUGAUUACAUUACAUAAGACUGUAGCUGCCAUCUUGCUGGAAAAUCCUAUUUUCUCGUCUCUUGCUUGUUUGGUAAAGUGAGCUUCCCUGAGGAGAGGCACAUGGGGCAAGAAAUUUGAGGGUGGCCUCCUACCAGCAGCCAGCAAGAAAGCAAGAUGCUCAGUCGGAUGAUCCAGAAAGAACUAAAUCCUGCCAACAACCACAUGAAUUUGGAAACGGAAUCUUCCCUGAUAAGACUCCAGUGCUGGCUAACGUCCUUCUGAGGGGCACCAAAGCAGAGCAGCCAGUUAAGCUGUAUCCAUAUUCAUGAUUCACAGAAACUGUGAGAUAAUAAAUAGGUACUGUUUUUCA